rnacentral:lncRNA from 7 species
AGUCUGGUCUCCACAGCCCAUACCUCCAGGCUGCACCCAGCCAGCAUAACCAUAACCAUGGAACCAUUCUCUCUUAUACUUUCCUAAAUGGACAUAUCGACUUCUGCAUGAUCAUCUGUAGACUAAGGAACCAAGGAACCAGCCAGUACAGUGCAAAGCAGCAGCAUCUCCUCUUAAGAUAAGUCAGCUCUGUCACUCAGCCCUCGUUUUUGUGAAAACUGUCAAAGAAUUUCCAAGAGUGAACUCCAGAAGGAUUGAUGCUCCCGUAUAUAUGGGCUGCUGAUUCACUUUGGAGACAUUAUCAGCUUGCCAUAAUUUGUCAUUGCAUAUUCAUUCUUGACAUUCUGAAGGUUCUGCUGAGGCUCUUAAAUGGACCUUAGGCUUGGAGGUAGUAAAAACGUCAGCAGAAGAUGGAAUGAUGGAAGUGCUGUGGCCACACUGAGGUUUCUGCACCUGCCAUGCAGUGCCUGCUCACCUGUUCCCCAGGUGGCACCCUCUUCUGCUACUCAGUAUAGGCUAUUGCUCAGAACUGACAACAGGUUUCCAUUAACAAACUAGUUUAUGUCACCAUCACUGUAGUCAAAGACGUCUUUUCUACCUCUAGAGAGCCUCCUGCUACAGAUUUAUGAUGGGAAGAGCGAUGAAGAGAGGAAACAAUCAAGUCUACAAAGCCAAAAUGGUGAAUGAGAAAUGGUAACAGAAGGCAGAAUGGAAACCUGAAGCUUCCUCAGUCUCCUUUUGCUAUGGCUUCCUGAAACGGUGCUGUGAAUGUAACAUGGAAUCAAGAUCAGAUGAACUGCCCUUAUAAAACGCAUCACUUGUUCAACCCUGGAUUCCUGAAAUGCACCUAGGCCUUAGCUGGGAAAAACAAAUACCAGGAAAAAUAGCUCUAAUGUCAUGAGGCUAUUUUAGAUCAAGACUCCUUGUUUUCUAAGCCACUUUCAUCCUGUUCCUAUAUUGUUCAUCACUUUCUUUUCUAUUGUUACAGAGAUACUGUGUGCUGACAGCAAUUGGAUCCCUUGUCUGAGUUUGAAAAAUCAAGAGUGCAACACUUUUUUUUUUAACUUCAGUAAGCACUUGUAUUUAAUACUCUGCCACUGUGAGUGAUUAAAAAGCUAGACUGAGUAAGGGGUAAAGGUACACCACCACAGACAGCAACUAUUUGGAUUUCAUUUGUCUUGUGUUUGUUCUCACCCUUUGAAUGCUGGUAUCACCAGGAGAGGAGACCUGUGUUUACAUAAAAGAAUAAAUAAGAAAUGUGC